CAAUCAGAAGAUAGAACAGGUCAGUAGGAGUCCAGACUUCCUAAAACUGUUUGAGAUGGUGAUCGGUCAGAACACUGGAAGGUGGUUGUGAGGAACCACGAUGGAGGGAACCUAAAAAAAAAUCUUGUUGACUGCAGAGAGAACAUGCAGCAGAGCAAAGCAGGAGGUCCAGUUUAUCAUGGAACACUGCUGCUGGUGUUAGGCAUAGGAUAGGGCUAGAUUUAAAGGUGUGAUCGGGGCUAGAUUUAAAGGUGUGAUCGGGGCUAGAUUUAAAGGUGUGAUCGGGGCUAGAUUUAAAGGUGUGAUCAGGGCUAGAUUUAAAGGUGUGAUCAGAGCUAGAUUUAAAGGUGUGAUCGGGGCUAGAUUUAAAGGUGUGAUCGGGGCUAGAUUUAAAGGUGUGAUCAGGGCUAGAUUUAAAGGUGUGAUCAGAGCUAGAUUUAAAGGUGUGAUCAGAGCUAGAUUUAAAGGUGUGAUCAGGGCUAGAUUUAAAGGUGUGAUCAGAGCUAGAUUUAAAGGUGUGAUCGGGGCUAGAUUUAAAGGUGUGAUCGGGGCUAGAUUUAAAGGUGUGAUCGGGGCUAGAUUUAAAGGUGUGAUCAGGGCUAGAUUUAAAGGUGUGAUCAGAGCGAGAUUUAAAGGUGUGAUCAGGGCUAGAUUUAAAGGUGUGAUCAGGGCUAGAUUUAAAGGUGUGAUCAGGGCUAGAUUUAAAGGUGUGAUCAGAGCUAGAUUUAAAGGUGUGAUCAGAGCUAGAUUUAAAGGUGUGAUCAGAGCUAGAUUUAAAGGUGUGAUCGGGGCUAGAUUUAAAGGUGUGAUCAGAGCUAGAUUUAAAGGUGUGAUCAGGGCUAGAUUUAAAGGUGUGAUCAGGGCUAGAUUUAAAGGUGUGAUCGGGGCUAGAUUUAAAGGUGUGAUCAGAGCUAGAUUUAAAGGUGUGAUCAGGGCUAGAUUUAAAGGUGUGAUCAGAGCUAGAUUUAAAGGUGUGAUCAGAGCUAGAUUUAAAGGUGUGAUCAGAGCUAGAUUUAAAGGUGUGAUCAGAGCUAGAUUUAAAGGUGUGAUCAGGGCUGGAU